rnacentral:pre_miRNA from 6 species
CUGCCAGAGCUGUGGAGUGUGACAAUGGUGUUUGUGUCCAAUCUAUCAAACGCCAUUAUCACACUAAAUAGCUACUGUUAGAUA